AAUUUAAGGGGGUCUGAAUACUUUCUGUGCCCACUGUAUGUGUAUAGAAAGCUUGAAAUGUCUAUGUAAAUGCGAUGAAGAGGCUACUUUCUCCUCAGAGGAAGAACAUGGCUCAGAUGAUGAAUGUUUGCAUUUUGAAGAACGUCUGGACCCAGCUGAGGAUAUAAUUCCUGACGAAUGUGAAAAUAACAGUGCAAAAGAACCUGUGGCAAAGAGAGCUAAAGCAAAUAAGCAUCCCACUUGGUCAUGGAAAACAGAGGACGAUAUUGACAUGGCUCCACAGGCUCUGAGAUUCCUGCCCACACGGGAACCUGGACCACAACUAAGACCAUGUGAUGCACACACUCCCAUGAGUCUAUUCAAAAAGUUUUUUUCUGACACUGCUGUGUUAACUCAGGCUGCCAGGGCAUGUGCAAAGGGACAUAAAUAUAAAUGGACAGAUGUCAGCAUCAGUGAGCUGUAAUGCUACAUUGGGCUACUCUUCUACAUGGCCAUGGUGAAGUUGAGUUCCAUCACAGACUACUGGUGGCAGAACAAUCUUUUCUCUGUUCCUUUUCCUGCCACAAUCAUGUCAAGGGACAGAUUCUGCACCAUUUCAUGGAAUCUGCACAUGAGUCACCCAGAUGCAGACCAGGACAAUGACAAAAA